AACGAACGCUGGCGGCAUGCCUAACACAUGCAAGUCGAACGAGACCUUCGGGUCUAGUGGCGCACGGGUGCGUAACGCGUGGGAACCUGCCCUUAGGUUCGGAAUAACUCCCCGAAAGGGGUGCUAAUACCGGAUAAUGUCUUCGGACCAAAGAUUUAUCGCCUUUGGAUGGGCCCGCGUUGGAUUAGCUAGUUGGUAGGGUAAAAGCCUACCAAGGCGACGAUCCAUAGCUGGUCUGAGAGGAUGAUCAGCCACACUGGGACUGAGACACGGCCCAGACUCCUACGGGAGGCAGCAGUGGGGAAUAUUGGACAAUGGGCGAAAGCCUGAUCCAGCCAUGCCGCGUGAGUGAUGAAGGCCUUAGGGUUGUAAAGCUCUUUUACCCGGGAUGAUAAUGACAGUACCGGGAGAAUAAGCACCGGCUAACUCCGUG
rnacentral:rRNA from 1 species